AACCUAGCACACCUGCGGUGUGUACCUGCGGAGGGAUCAUUAAAGAGUUGCAAAACUCCCAACCAUUGUGAACGAACCGUAAUGCCCAGCGGGGCGGUGCCUGGCACCCCCGGCCGCGGUAUGAAACUCUUAUUCAGUGAAUCUCUGAGUAGCUUAUUUAAUAAGUCAAAACUUUCAACAAUGGAUCU
rnacentral:misc_RNA from 1 species